GAUGAACGCUAGCGGCAGGCCUAAUACAUGCAAGUCGAACGAGAUUAAGGAGCUUGCUCCUUAUGAAAGUGGCGCACGGGUGCGUAACGCGUAUGCAACCUACCUUAAUCAGGGGGAUAGCCUGAAGAAAUUCGGAUUAACACCGCAUAAAAACACAGGAUAGCAUUAUCCAAUGUUCAAUUAUUUAUAGGAUUAAGAUGGGCAUGCGUGUCAUUAGCUAGUUGGCGGGGUAACGGCCCACCAAGGCGACGAUGACUAGGGGAUCUGAGAGGAUGACCCCCCACACUGGUACUGAGACACGGACCAGACUCCUACGGGAGGCAGCAGUAAGGAAUAUUGGUCAAUGGAGGCAACUCUGAACCAGCCAUGCCGCGUGCAGGAAGACUGCCCUAUGGGUUGUAAACUGUUUUUAUCCGGGAAUAAACCUAAUUACGUGUAAUUAGCUGAAUGUACCGGAAGAAUAAGGAUCGGCUAACUCCGUGCCAGCCGCCGCGGUAAUAC
rnacentral:rRNA from 1 species